rnacentral:rRNA from 1 species
UAGGGAAUAUUGGGCAAUGGAUGGAAGUCUGACCCAGCCAUCCCGCGUGCCGGAAGACGGCCCUCAGGGUUGUAAACGGCUUUUGACGGUGAAGAAUAGGCGGGAUGCGUCCUGUUUUGACGGUAGCCGUUGAAUAAGCACCGGCUAACUCCGUGCCAGCAGCCGCGGUAAUACGAAGGGGGCUAGCGUUGUUCGGAAUUACUGGGCGUAAAGGGCGCGUAGGCGGAUUUGCAAGUUAGGGGUGAAAUCCCGGGGCUCAACCCCGGAACUGCCUCUAAAACUGCUAAUCUAGAGUUCGGGAGAGGUGAGUGGAAUUCCGAGUGUAGAGGUGAAAUUCGUAGAUAUUCGGAGGAACACCAGUGGCGAAGGCGGCUCACUGGCCCGAAGCUGACGCUGAGGCGCGAAAGCGUGGGGAGCAAACAGGAUUAGAUACCC